rnacentral:miRNA from 1 species
CUAGCAUGUUCCUCCUAAGAG